rnacentral:rRNA from 1 species
AUUGAACGCUGGCGGCAGGCCUAACACAUGCAAGUCGAACGGUAACAGGAAGCAGCUUGCUGCUUCGCUGACGAGUGGCGGACGGGUGAGUAAUGUCUGGGAAACUGCCUGAUGGAGGGGGAUAACUGCUGGAAACGGUAGCUAAUACCGCAUAACGUCGCAAGACCAAAGAGGGGGACCUUAGGGCCUCUUGCCAUCGGAUGUGCCCAGAUGGGAUUAGCUAGUAGGUGGGGUAACGGCUCACCUAGGCGACGAUCCCUAGCUGGUCUGAGAGGAUGACCAGCCACACUGGAACUGAGACACGGUCCAGACUCCUACGGGAGGCAGCAGUGGGGAAUAUUGCACAAUGGGCGCAAGCCUGAUGCAGCCAUGCCGCGUGUAUGAAGAAGGCCUUCGGGUUGUAAAGUACUUUCAGCGGGGAGGAAGGGAGUAAAGUUAAUACCUUUGCUCAUUGACGUUACCCGCAGAAGAAGCACCGGCUAACUCCGUG